UACGUAGGGGGCAAGCGUUGUCCGGAUUUAUUGGGCGUAAAGAGCGUGUAGGCGGUUUGGUAGGUCCGUUGUGAAAACUCGAGGCUCAACCUCGAGACGCCGAUGGAAACCAUCAGACUAGAGUCCGGAAGAGGAGAGUGGAAUUCCUGGUGUAGCGGUGAAAUGCGCAGAUAGUCAGGAAGAACACCCGUGGCGAAGGCGGCUCUCUGGGACGGUACUGACGCUGAGACGCGAAAGCGUGGGGAGCGAACAGG
rnacentral:rRNA from 1 species